AUACGUAAUAGUAGUAAUAGUGGCCAAAGAAAAGCAUAACAUAAUCGGAACCAAUCAUCCACCGCCAGUACAAUGAUGAAGGGCGCUUACAUAUCACGCAACAUCGCACUCCUGCACUCCUUCAAUUACCAAAACAAACCUCAUUCUCCGCUCAUUAUAAUUAUAAUUAAAAUCUUUUACACAAUAUAUUAUGAUUUACUGAAAUAUUAAUAAAAGAGAAAUAAAGAAGAGUAUAGAAGGAUUUGUAAGUAUAACCGCCUUAGCUGCAAUUGAUGACAUUCACGCAACGGGGAGGGAGUAAUUGGCUACUUUAACUUUCUCGCUGCGCACUCACACCGAUUCUACGAUGGACUCUGUUCCUUUUCGCGAUGGCAACAUACGCACCAUUCUCGACACUCGAUGCCUUCACGCUCCUCGAGAUGCUCUUCCUCGUUUGCAGACUCAUUCCUCGUUGAUUCGGAGGCUUUGUCAAGAAAGGGAGUUAGAGGGGCACCUUGGCUGUGUUAAUGCGGUGGCUUGGAAUUCCCAAGGUUCAUUAUUGAUAUCUGGAUCAGAUGAUACACGGAUCAAUAUUUGGAGCUAUUCUGGACGAAAACUCUUGCAUUCUGUUGACACUGGACAUAGUGCAAAUAUAUUCUGUACUAAGUUUAUACCAGAAACUUCUGAUGAUCUUGUAGUCUCUGGGGCUGGAGAUGCUGAAGUCCGAGUAUUUAAUUUGUCUCGCUUAAGUGGGAGUGGAUUUAGUGAGAAUGCAAUUGCUCCAUCUGCACUUUACCGUUGUCACACUCGAAGAAUCAAGAAAUUGGCUGUUGAAAAUGGAAACCCCAAUGUUGUAUGGAGUGCUAGUGAAGAUGGAACGCUAAGACAACAUGAUUUUCGGGAAGGUACCUCUUGUCCCCCAGCAGGAUCUUCACACCAAGAGUGUCGAAAUAUUCUACUUGACUUAAGAUGUGGAGCAAAAAGGUCACUUGGCGAUUCUCCUAAACAAGUCCUUGCUUUAAAAUCUUGUGACAUUAGUUCAACUAGACCACACUUGCUCCUUGUUGGUGGGAGUGAUGCCUUUGCACGUUUAUAUGAUAGAAGGAUGCUACCGCCUCUGAGCUCCUGUCGGAGAAGAAUGUCUCCACCUCCUUGUGUUAAUUACUUUUGUCCAAUGCAUCUUUCUGAUCGUGGACAUCCAAGCUUGCACUUAACUCAUGUUACAUUCAGUCCUGAUGGACACGAGGUUCUCCUCAGCUAUAGUGGAGAGCAUGUAUACUUGAUGAAUGUAAAUCAUGCUGGAGUGAAUGAGAUGCAAUAUACUUCUGAAGAUGCAUCAAAGCUGAUGGCUUACUCUCCAACAAUUAAUGGGGUAGAGUUGCAACCUUGUGUGUCUAAUGUCUUCCCAAAUGGUUUUCCUAUUAAAAAGAACAUCGCUGCUAAGCUUGACAAAUGCAUGAAACUAAUAAAGCAUGCUAAGAAAUCAAUGGACAAUGGGACAGCCUAUUAUGGAAUUGAGGCAUGUAAUGAGGUUUUGAGUGGCUACAGUCAUAUUGUUGGGCCUGUAUUAAAACAUGAAUGCUUGUGUACCCGUGCUGCACUAUUGCUUAAGAGGAAGUGGAAAAAUGAUGCUUAUAUGGCUAUAAGAGACUGCUAUGCUGCUAGGAAAAUUGAUAAUUCAUCCUAUAAAGCUCUUUACUAUAUGUCAGAAGCAUUGUCACAGCUGGGCAGACACGAAGAAGCUUUGGAAUUUGCUAUUGCAUCCCAUUCAUUGGCCCCAUCCAAAUCUGAAGUUGCAGAAAGAGUGGAGAAUGUGAAGAAUGAUAUUGCUUUAGCUGAAGCUGAAAAAAAUAGCAAGACAAAUGAUGGAGCAUCAAGGUUUGACAAUCGGGGUGGAAGAAUAUUAUCAUUAAGUGAUAUACUCUAUCGUUCGGAGGCUAAUAGUGAUGGCUCACAAGAUGGUCCAAGAUCAGAGAGGGAUGAUUCUGAUUAUGAUGAGGAAUUGGAAUUGGACUUUGAAACAUCAAUCUCUGGUGAUGAGGGACAUGAUCUUGAAUCAAAUAUUCUUCAUGGAAGUUUAAAUCUUAGAAUUCAUCGUAGAGGUGACUCUAGAGAAAAUGCUGGUGUAAAUGGCUCAUGCGAGUCACCUUCAUCAUCUUCUCAAAAUAGUAGAAUGUCUUACAUGGUACAUUUUACUACAUAAAAUUUUAUUCUUAUUAUUAUUGCAUUGUCAUCAAUAUGAUCCUUCAAAAAUUAUGCUUUCUUUUAUAUUUAUUUCCUAGGUUUUUGUAAUGGCUUCAUUUGAUGUUUACUCUGCUUCCAUUCUAUUGGUUCCAAUACAUAAUCCUAGAAGGGUACAACAAUCUUCAGAUUUUGCCUGAAGCAGCUGUUGACAUGAAACAGAGAUUUAUUGGCCACUGCAAUGUUGGCACUGAUAUAAAACAGGCUAAUUUUCUUGGCCAAAGAGGUGAAUAUGUUGCCAGUGGAAGUGAUGAUGGCAGAUGGUUUAUAUGGGAAAAACGAACUGGUAGACUCGUAAAAAUGCUGAAUGGUGAUGAAUCAGUUGUGAAUUGUGUACAAUGCCAUCCAUUUGAUUUUGUUGUUGCAACCAGUGGGAUUGAUAGCACAAUAAAGGUGAGAAUGGUGAUUCUAUGAUGUGCCGUAUCUUUCGGGUGUAAAAUCUUCAAUCUCUGAAGCUUUUUGGCGGUGCAUUAUUUUAGAUAUGGACUCCAACUGCUCCUGUUCCAUCUUCUGUUGCCGGUGGUUCAGCAGGACCAGAAACUGGUGAUGUGUUGGUUGCAAUGGAGAGCAAUCAACAAAAAUUAUCCCGUAACCGUGAUUCUAUUCUGCCCUUUGAGCUUUUGGAACCAUUUAGAAUGCAUGAGUUUCCUGAAGGGUCGCUACGCUUGCGCCCAUUUGAAUGCGCUCAAAGCUAAAUGUUUGGUUGAUAUUUGGUAGUACUAAAUGAGUCUGUACUGCCAUUAUCGGUGGGAAGAGCUUUGACAAUGGGACGCGCGGAAUAAUUUGGCACAUUAAAUUCAAAUCAUGGGUAUUAUCCCGGAUAUUUUUGGUUCAAAGGUAUUAUCCUGGAUUUAUUUCCUGGACUGUUGAUUAGAA